GUAUCCUUACCUGAAUACAUAGGGUAAGGAGGCGAACCGGGGGAACUGAAACAUCUAAGUACCCCGAGGAAAAGAAAUCAACCGAGAUUCCGAAAGUAGCGGCGAGCGAAAUUGGACUAGCCCUUAAGCUUUACACGCGUUAGACGAACGGUCUGGAAAGUCCGACGAUACAGGGUGAUAGUCCCGUAGUUGACGACGUGUGUUCAGUGAAAUCGAGUAGGGCGGGACACGUGAUAUCCUGUCUGAAUAUGGGGGGACCAUCCUCCAAGGCUAAAUACUACUGACUGACCGAUAGUGAACCAGUACCGUGAGGGAAAGGCGAAAAGAACCCCUGUGAGGGGAGUGAAAUAGAACCUGAAACCGUGUACGUACAAGCAGUAGGAGCAGGCUUUGUCCUGUGACUGCGUACCUUUUGUAUAAUGGGUCAGCGACUUAUAUUCAGUGGCAAGGUUAACCAUCUAGGGGAGCCGUAGGGAAACCGAGUCUUAACUGGGCGUUCAGUCUCUGGAUAUAGACCCGAAACCAGGUGAUCUAGCCAUGGGCAGGUUGAAGGUUGAGUAACAUCAACUGGAGGACCGAACCGACUAAUGUUGAAAAAUUAGCGGAUGACUUGUGGCUAGGGGUGAAAGGCCAAUCAAACCUGGAGAUAGCUGGUUCUCCCCGAAAGCUAUUUAGGUAGCGCCUCGGACGAAUACUACUGGGGGUAGAGCACUGUUAAGGCUAGGGGGUCAUCCCGACUUACCAACCCUUUGCAAACUCCGAAUACCAGUAAGUACUAUCCGGGAGACACACGGCGGGUGCUAACGUCCGUCGUGGAGAGGGAAACAACCCAGACCGCCAGCUAAGGUCCCAAAUUACUACUAAGUGGGAAACGAUGUGGGAAGGCUCAGACAGCCAGGAUGUUGGCUUAGAAGCAGCCAUCAUUUAAAGAAAGCGUAAUAGCUCACUGGUCGAGUCGGCCUGCGCGGAAGAUGUAACGGGGCUAAGUAGUAAACCGAAGCUGCGGCAAUGUGCUUUUGCACAUUGGGUAGGGGAGCGUUCUGUAAGCGGUUGAAGGUGUGUGGUAACGCAUGCUGGACGUAUCAGAAGUGCGAAUGCUGACAUGAGUAACGAUAAAGGGGGUGAAAAACCUCCUCGCCGGAAGACCAAGGGUUCCUGUCCAACGUUAAUCGGGGCAGGGUAAGUCGACCCCUAAGGCGAGGCCGAAAGGCGUAGUCGAUGGGAAACGGGUUAAUAUUCCCGUACUUCUUACAAUUGCGAUGGGGGGACGGAGAAGGCUAGGUGGGCCUGGCGACGGUUGUCCAGGUUCAAGUGCGUAGGCUUGAGAGUUAGGUAAAUCCGGCUCUUUUUAAGGCUGAGACACGACGUCGAGCACUACGGAGGUGAAGUCAUUGAUGCCAUGCUUCCAGGAAAAGCCUCUAAGCUUCAGAUUGUAAGGAAUCGUACCCCAAACCGACACAGGUGGUCGGGUAGAGAAUACCAAGGCGCUUGAGAGAACUCGGGUGAAGGAACUAGGCAAAAUGGUACCGUAACUUCGGGAGAAGGUACGCUCUCGACGGUGAAGUCCCUCGCGGAUGGAGCUAUUGAGAGUCGCAGAUACCAGGUGGCUGCAACUGUUUAUUAAAAACACAGCACUGUGCAAAAUCGUAAGAUGACGUAUACGGUGUGACGCCUGCCCGGUGCCGGAAGGUUAAUUGAUGGGGUUAGACUUCGGUCGAAGCUCUUGAUCGAAGCCCCGGUAAACGGCGGCCGUAACUAUAACGGUCCUAAGGUAGCGAAAUUCCUUGUCGGGUAAGUUCCGACCUGCACGAAUGGCGUAAUGAUGGCCACGCUGUCUCCACCCGAGACUCAGUGAAAUUGAAAUCGCUGUGAAGAUGCAGUGUACCCGCGGCUAGACGGAAAGACCCCGUGAACCUUUACUACAGCUUGGCACUGAACAUUGACCCUACAUGUGUAGGAUAGGUGGGAGGCUUUGAAGCACGUACGCCAGUAUGUGUGGAGCCGUCCUUGAAAUACCACCCUUGUAGUGUUGAUGUUCUAACGUCGACCCCUUAUCGGGGUUGCGGACAGUGCCUGGUGGGUAGUUUGACUGGGGCGGUCUCCUCCCAAAGAGUAACGGAGGAGCACGAAGGUGGGCUAAUCACGGUUGGACAUCGUGAGGUUAGUGCAAUGGCAUAAGCCCGCUUGACUGCGAGAAUGACAAUUCGAGCAGGUGCGAAAGCAGGUCAUAGUGAUCCGGUGGUUCUGAAUGGAAGGGCCAUCGCUCAACGGAUAAAAGGUACUCCGGGGAUAACAGGCUGAUACCGCCCAAGAGUUCAUAUCGACGGCGGUGUUUGGCACCUCGAUGUCGGCUCAUCACAUCCUGGGGCUGAAGUCGGUCCCAAGGGUAUGGCUGUUCGCCAUUUAAAGUGGUACGCGAGCUGGGUUUAGAACGUCGUGAGACAGUUCGGUCCCUAUCUGCCGUGGGCGUUGGAAGAUUGAAGGGGGCUGCUCCUAGUACGAGAGGACCGGAGUGGACGAACCUCUGGUGUUCGGGUUGUGUCGCCAGACGCAUUGCCCGGUAGCUAAGUUCGGAAUCGAUAACCGCUGAAAGCAUCUAAGCGGGAAGCGAGCCCUGAGAUGAGUCUUCCCUGAUACUUUAAGUAUCCUAAAGGGUUGUCGGAGACUACGACGUUGAUAGGUCAGGUGUGUAAGUGCUGUGAGGCAUUGAGCUAACUGAUACUAAUUGCCCGUGAGGCUUAACCAUACAACACCCAAGGGGUUU
rnacentral:rRNA from 1 species